GCUUGAGUAGCUUAGUGAUGAGUAGUGUUGCUUUUAAGUAGCAAGGGCGGGUUAUUUCUCCUCAAGCA
rnacentral:tRNA from 1 species